AGAUGUUAAAAGCAAGAGACAUGGGAGAGCAUCAUUCCUUUGAGAUUUUAUAACUCAAACCAACUUUGGAGUUGUCUGAUUUGGAGAGUCAUUAUUCUUGGUCUUCGCUCUUAGAGGCCACUGUUGAAGAACAGGCGGUGACUGGGAUGAAUGCUGGUCAGAGAGGAGAAUCUUCUUUCCCCUAAACUGAUGCAGCGGUGGUUUUAAAGGAGGACGCUGCCCUGGAUGAUGUAGAAGAUGUCACAUGCUGUGCUGAUGGGGUUUCUUCAUGAUUACAUCAGUUAUGCUAAAGAGAUCAUGAAAAUUGACCGUGAUGCAUGAUCUGUAUUCAUGGACUAUGAAACAAACUGUAAGUGUAUAAUUUGUUAAAAAAAAAAAGUUAAAUGCUUUUUCUGUGUUGUUUAGUAGAAGAGUUUACACUCUGUCAUUCAUACACCUGCUCACAUACUUUCACACACACACACACACACGCGUCUGUUAAAUGUUAUAAUAUCAAAGUUAAUGUUGUGAUUUAUUUGUGUACUGUCAUGCCAGAAUAGUUGGAAAAAAACCUAACUAAUUGUAAAUUUAUUGUAUGUGUUUUCGUAUAUUUUUAUACAAUAUAUACAAUUGAAAAAAGUCCAAUUUGAUCUUAAGUUAUAUUCAUCAAAUGUUCAAUGCUUUGUUUAUGAACUCUGUAGCUGUUAAUGCCAUCCUUU